rnacentral:rRNA from 1 species
AUUGAACGCUGGCGGCAGGCCUAACACAUGCAAGUCGAGCGGAUGAAGGGAGCUUGCUCCUGGAUUCAGCGGCGGACGGGUGAGUAAUGCCUAGGAAUCUGCCUGGUAGUGGGGGAUAACGUCCGGAAACGGGCGCUAAUACCGCAUACGUCCUGAGGGAGAAAGUGGGGGAUCUUCGGACCUCACGCUAUCAGAUGAGCCUAGGUCGGAUUAGCUAGUUGGUGGGGUAAAGGCCUACCAAGGCGACGAUCCGUAACUGGUCUGAGAGGAUGAUCAGUCACACUGGAACUGAGACACGGUCCAGACUCCUACGGGAGGCAGCAGUGGGGAAUAUUGGACAGUGGGCGAAAGCCUGAUCCAGCCAUGCCGCGUGUGUGAAGAAGGUCUGCGGAUUGUAAAGCACUUUAAGUUGGGAGGAAGGGCAGUAAGUUAAUACCUUGCUGUUUGGACGUUACCAACAGAAUAAGCACCGGCGAACUUCGU